rnacentral:misc_RNA from 1 species
UAGGGCUGAAAGAACGUUCUUAUUUAACGAUUAUGGGAAAAAUCCUCCAAAUUAUAAGAUUAAUGUUGUGUAGAACGAUCGGCUACCAAUUAUGUAAAUGUCUGUAAAGCUGAAAAAACAGUGCGGAAAUUAUCUCUAUCAAAUUUUUUUAAUCGACGGAAUGUUGUUUCUGCUCUUGUGAAGCAUUACCAAGUAAUCGGAAUAGGAUAGAUUCUGGGAAGAAUUCGAAUUGUUCUAGAGAGGGAGAUUUUCAGGUUCAUAUUCUCAUUCCAUUUCAUCCCUUCCAAUCUUUUGUUAUUAGUUAUGUUCAAUUUUUUCAAAAAAAGUAAAUCGAAAGAUAACAAUUGCUCAACGAGAGGGAACAACAAAAAUAAAAAAGGAAAACAACAAACUGUUGCCUCCAAUUAUCACACGGAUAGCUCGGGAAAAAGUGGUACACAGUUAACAAAAUCAAAAGAAGAGACGAAAAACAAACAAGAAAGAGAGACCAGUAAUGGAGAGCGAGAUGAGGUGUGUGAGAGUUUGAAUUUGGAGAAGAUUACUGGAGAGAAAGUGAUGGGUAAUACUGAGAGUAAAUCUGAGAGCUCGUCUCCAGGGCUUAACACGAUUGGUGGCAACGAACAGGCUGAAUCGAACACGGCCAGGACAGAAUUCUUGCACUUGGAUAAAAAUGCGAAUGGCAUUGUUGGAAAGGCAGAUAGCUUGACAAGCAAUUCAACAAGCUCGCCAACUGUUUCAGAUUUGCUGCGCGGAACCGGUUCCUGGGAAAGUGCGUCGUCCAAUGAGCGGAAAAAGAAGGAGAGUACACCUGACAGCGAUAUAGUUUUCAAGACUGCUCCCAACACGCCUGUACUGUCUCGUGACGACAAUCGUCCUCGACAACUAACUCUGCCAGCUGAGCUUCCAUCUAUUUUCGAGGAUACAAAACUCCCCCAAAUGGAGAAAAAUCUACAAGAAUGUGAUAAUAUACAGGAAGAAACUGAUCAAAAGAUAAUAGGGGACAGUGAUAUUAUGGGUAGAAAAGUACCUGACAGUGACCAAGAAGACAUGAAACCUGAUGCUAAUCCCUCAAACCAUGUGAAACCUGUUCUUCUGAACAUCAAUAAUACAGGUUCAGAUUCUAAGUUCAAGGAAUCCGAUAUUAAGCCAAUUGUAGACGGAGAGAGGUCUUCUAGUGAUUUGAUGAACUUCAAGGUUGAGCCUUCAGUAACUGUAAACGGUGAAAAAGCUACUGGUGAUUUGGAAAGUUAUAGUGACUGUAUGAAAAACGAAAAAUGUUCACCAAUUGACAAUGAACAGAAUGUUGUGAACUCAAAAGAGAAUUCAGAUGAGAAAAUUGUUCCAGAUAUCGAUAGUGCAGCGACAUCCACUCCGGAUGUACGAUCUAUUUGUGAAAUCUCUGAACAAUCUUGUGAAAAAGAAUGUGAGGAUGUAGUGAUUGAAACCCGAAAUUCAGCUUUCUUCAAAAACAAUGAUGAUUUUGAUCCGAAUUCUACUCUUAUAUCGGGAGAGGUGAAGUUCAAUCCCCCACAAGACAGUAAAAGAGUUAUAGUGGAUGAGUACACAAGAAACAUAAAUUCGUGUAGUAGUGCCACUGAUACUGAAAGUCGAGAGACAGAGGAUGAUAAGGAUUCAGAAACCUGUCAUGGUAGGAAAAAGUUUGACACUGCUCUGGAAUUGUCGUCUUCGUCAAAUCCAACAAAUCGAUCUACUAAUCAUAGUAUCAAGUUUGGCAGUAAACUUGAUAUUGGUUCAAGACUUCCCAACUGUGACGAACUUUUAGUGAAGUUGAGUACUGAUUUUCCUGACAAUUCUUCUUCUCAAUCUGAGGACGAAAGUGUUGUUUGCGAGAAGAGUGAGCCAGCUACAAAUGACGAAUCAUCAGUGGAAAACGUGGCUGAUGCUCGAGGAUUAAACUCUGGUCAUGACUCGAUGGGCAAUUCUUGCUUCAGUAACGACUUUGAAGUGUCUGUGUGUAUUUCGAUGGGGAGAAACGAUGGAGCAAAAGUUGAAGAGGAGGUUUCGACUGAAGUAAGCGAUUGUGAAUCAAUUCAAUCUGCUGGUUUAACGGAGUCGGUUUUCAGCGGAGGUAACCGGACAAGUGAAGCGGAAAAGGAACACAGUGAGAGUGCCGCUGGAAAGAUUCGUGAAGUGGAAAACUUGUGUCCCGUCGCCGAGAAUAAUAAUGGAUGUUUGGUAGAUGGAAGCUGCAGUGAGAGCACGAAAGCCGAUCUCCAACCAGCGGGUAUCGAAAAUCUCCCAAAAAUUAUUAUAGAAUCAGUCGAGGAGCAAGAAAACGGAUUUGUAAGACACGAGGAGAAUGAAACGGAAGAGAAUUGUGGAGAGAUUUAUGGGGAUGAAGAAAGCAGCGACGAUGAUGAUGAUAGCGAAGAACCGUUGACGGUUAUGGAGAGAUCCGACUUCUUAGUGGAUAAGGAGAAACCUCUGGAUGGAGAGCAACAAGGAGAGAGUUCGGCUUGCGUGAGAGACACAGCUGCCCAAGUCCAAGCGGUGAUGCUCGAUAGAACAAAGGAGCAUCUUGUCAAUGCAGAGAAACGGGCAGAGAAACAGAUGGCUGAUUUGAAAUCAGAAUUGGAUGACAGUGAGAAGGAAAUGUUCAGGAUGAGAGUCCAAGUUCAAGACUUACAACGGGAAUCAAUCGCUAAAACAGGAGGAAUGGAGAGACUGCAAGCUGAACUUUCUGCUGCUUACAAGGAUUCUGAAUUUGUCAGAAGAAAAUUAAAGAGACUGGAAGAGGAGCUGGCUAGCUUCAAACAAAAAAACUCUGAUCUCACCGAGGAAUUGAGGCAAAAGGCUGAAAUCGAGAACGAGAAUGAUUACUGGAAAGUGAUGGAAUUAGAGAAUGAAGGUAAAGAGCUGACCAGGAGAGUGAAAGAAUUGGAAGCUCUUCUAUCGGCAACCAGGGCAGAGAGAGAUGAGUUGAAAAAGAAAGUUGAUGAGUUAUUAGCUGAGAGCGAGGAGGAAAGAAAAGUAGCUCAAGAGGCUCUUGACGAAGCCAUGGUAGAAAAACUAGCCAUGCAAGAAAAGUAUGAAAGAGAGUUCGAGAAGCUUAGAUCCGCCAACAUCGACAGGGAGCAGAAAAUGUUGGACGAUUUCGAGUGGAAACUGAGAGAAGUGGAGCAGGCGUGUAAGAAGCGGUUGGAUGACAAAGAGCAAACCUCAAAGCAACUAGUCAGAGAAGUCGAGGGAAAAUUAACAGUCGCCGAAGGGAAACUAGCUCAGCUCCCUCAUUUGAAACAAUGCGAACAAGAACUGAAUCAUCUACGAGAACGAAGUAUUGAACAACAGCGAACUUUGCGGACUGCCACUAGACAAUUGGAACAGCUGCAGGACUCCGACAAGCAGCAGCAUGAAGAGAUUCAACAGCUCAAACAACUACUGGAAAAGGAGAAGUCGCAUCUUACGACUGUGCAGAGUAUCCAUUACCGAGAACUGGCCGAGAAAGAUAGAAAACAUCAAUUCAAAUUGGAUCAACAAAAGACUGAGAUAAAUACUGAAUGGGAGGAUAAGAUGAGAAGAGAAACGCAACGAAUAAAAACUGAAUCAGAUCGAAAUCACAGAACGGAAAAGUUACAAGCACUUGAUGAAGCGAAAAGCCAGCAUCAGCACAAACUUAGAGAACUUGAAACUUCCUGGGAAAAGAAGCAUACAGCCUGCGUGAAAGAGAUUGAUAGCUUGAAAACGAAACUUUCCGAAAAAGAAGACUACUAUAUACAGGAGUUUGAAACUAUUCAAACAAAAGCUGACCGAGACAUCUUUGAAUUAAGAAGAAAACUGGAUAAGAUUGACUUAUCUUAUCAGGAGCAAAUAGAGAAGAUACAACAAAAGCAUGAAAAAGAGCUGGUUGAGGUGCGGGAAGACGCAGACAGGAGAAUACAGCAAUGUGAACUGAACGCCCAACACCAGAUUGGUGCAUCUCGCACAACCAUUGAACUCGUCAAAGAGCAAAUGCACCGAGAAUCACAGGAAAAACUGCAACAACUUAGUGAACAUCACCGCAGACAACUUGAGGAGCAGUGGGAGCAAUUGGUGCAGGAGCGUGACGACGCAAUAGCCAUGAUCGAGCAGAAGCACAGAACCAGCAUGGAAAAACUCCGCAACGAACUCGAUUCAAUUUACAAGGGCAGAGAUUCUCGUGAGACUGAGUUAUUAGACACGUUAAACAAUAUGAGGCAGGAGCUCUCAGGAAAAACUACACACAUUGGAAGUUUGGAAUCAAACGUUGAAGAACUUCAGGAGAAUCUGGAGGUGUUGAACUGUGAAGUGAACAACAAAGCACAACAAAUUACUAAAGUCAUGAAGGAAGGAGAAGAGGUAUUAAGCAGGUGGACAUUGAUGACUGACAGUAAUUAAAACUCGAGAUUUCUGAUGAAAACCAACAAGAGAACAACGGGAGCAACAGCUACAGGAGACGUUCCAGUCGCAGUUGGAAGAGAUGCAUCAGAGACAUCAAAAGGAAAUAGGCGUUUGGCAAAGCAACGUCGAAGAACUGCAGAAGACAAUUGCAUCAUCAGCUAAACGUGAUGAAAAUAAAGACAAUUCUAGUGCAGCCAAAAAAAUCGAAGAGCUUGCCAAGCAGUUGAAAGAGAAAGAACAACAAAUAGCAACAUUAACGAAGGAGAAGCAUCUCUACCAACUCGAGUUGAUGAACAAAGACAAGGAAUCCGUACAAGCCAAACAGAGAAGAAAAGGAGGGAGAGGAAGACAUCAAGGGGGGAGGGGACAAAGAUGUUAAAAUUCAUAAAAUUAUUCCAAAAGUUGAAUGCUCCGUUGUUUUUUAGAAUCUGGUGAAAAACGUUUGAUUUUCAUGGCUGUGAUUGAUACCACACGAAUUAUGAUCGAACUUCGUUGUCUAUCUUUUAUAAAAUUUGUUGUCUAUCAUCUAUAAUUUAGUGUUCGACUUCGUAUUUGCUACCUAAAUAUUGUGGCAUACUUUCCUAGUCAUUGCUUUCAAUGUUCCUACGACUCUGUUCUAUCAAUUUGACAAAUCGAAUUUGUUGAGCUGUUUCAUUGCUCAACUUAUUUCAUGUAAUAUGAUUAUUUACAUAUAUUGAGGCAUCAAGACCUGAAUUAUUUUUGAGACUUGUAACAUUAUAAUCACAGGUAGAGCAAUUGCUUAUUCUAUUGAGCUCACCAACAUCUUUCAUAAAUAAGUAUAAUAUUCACGUUGGAAAAUAUUAUUAAUAAACACAUGGUGCGGCACCACCUAGAACACAAAAUUUAAAUUCCUCUUCCAAGUAUUUCUCAAGCUAGAGAAGCUUCAUAAUUGUGUAGUACAUCAUGUAGUUUAUGCCUAUAUCUUGAAUUCUUUAUACUUCCAUACUGAAAAUAUUCAGAAUGCAAUAAUGGGAGUAAGUAGCCUGAAACAACAUAUUAUUGUAAAUUAAUAAAAAUCUUGAUUCAGAUGUAUAAUUAGGCUUACAUAUCCAUGAUGAUUUUUAAUCGCUUUUCUAUUACAAUCGCUGAAAGUUUCUUCAACUUCAAGGGCUCUAUUUUACCGUUAAUCUAUUUCACUUUCAGUUUCUAUGUUAGUCCUGCUAUCAUUAAACUGAAUUGAUUUUUCAGAUGAUCAAGAUAUCUAUGAUUAUUUCUCUAUUUGUAUAUCGUUCAAUGUAAUGUAUGUAAUAAUUGUUUUCCUAGAGAACUUUUGUAUAGGCUAUAGAUUAUGUCAAUUUUAUAUAAAAGUAACAAAAAUUAAAUAUGACUGUUGAA